AAUAUACUCCCUCCGUCCAACAAAGGAUGUCUCAAGUUUGAAUAAAUUUGAAUGCAUUUAUACACUAAGUCAUGUCUAAAUACAUCCAAAAUUUGACAAAUUUGAAACAUUUUUUGUUAGACAGAGGAAGUAGUAA
rfam:Brachypodium distachyon strain Bd21 chromosome 2, whole genome shotgun sequence.